rfam:Proteiniclasticum ruminis strain ML2 genome assembly, contig: Ga0073291_107
CCGUGCUAGACGGGGAGUUAGCGGUGCCCUGUAACCUGCAAUCCGCUACAGCAGGGUGUAAUCCCUAACCGAGGCUUGAUCUUUCAGGGUCUGACCCUUAAAAGUGACGUUGAUAAGUGGAUCCCACGCAAUGGAUGUCUAUGAACCUCGUCAGGACCGGAAGGUAGCAGCGAUAAAUAGAAUUAUUCGUGUGCCGUGGCAAAUCUGCUUUGAGUUUACUGUUCGGGUAACGCUUGAACGGUUACUGUCAGAGUUGGGUGCACGG